CAAUGUGAGAAAGGUCCAACCUCACAUGUCCUGUGAGGCUGAAGGAAGGCUGUGUGAGGUUAGACCUAUCCCACACGG
rfam:Danio rerio chromosome 5, GRCz11 reference primary assembly.